AUACAGAUAAAAAUCCAAUUUUAUUUGACUCCUUAAUUUAUAUAAAUUUGAACUGAAUAAAAGAGUCAAAUGCAAUUGUUGAAUCGUUAGUUUAUCCAUCGACAGCAAUCAAGUUACAUCUAACUGUUUGACCAGGAAAAGUAUCACCACUGAGCCUAAGCUUUCUUCGUGAAUAAAAGUUAACUGAAUUGGUGAUCAACCAUUAAAACAACUGUUACAUCGAAAGCUGAAACAUGACCAAAGCUAUUCUAAUUGUAUUGUGCUUUUCAAUUCUGUUGACGGCAGUUGAGCUACAAACUGUGAAUAAUCUUGACUCUAAGGAAGUUCUGGAUGCUGUUAUCGAAACUAAUCAAACUGAUGAUAAUUUAGUGAGAAAACAAAUUGCCCAAAUUGAAGACAUUUUGGUUGGGCUUGAUCGAUAUAUCGCUAUAAACCAUAGGAUUAGAUUUGGACGCAGCAUUAAAUCAUCAAAUGAUUUAUCUAGUUCAUUAAAAAGUAUUUCAAAGCGGUUAAAAUCAAUCUUGAAGCGCUGUAAAUUGUUGUAAACUGGAUUCCAAACUCCAUUUCAGGUUACUAUCGAGAUUCAUCAUAAGGAUACCAAACAAUAAUACGCUCAAUAUUGAUUGUUAACCAAAGAGAUUGGAUUUAGUGUGACACUGGAUAUAAAUCAAAAAGUUAAUAUAAUUAGCCAUCUAAUUGUGAAUAUCUUUAUUUUAAUUACAUAUGUACGAUAAAAUAAACUGUUGCUUUCAUCAA